rnacentral:rRNA from 1 species
UACGUAGGGGGCAAGCGUUGUCCGGAUUUAUUGGGCGUAAAGAGCGUGUAGGCGGCUAGAUAGGUCCGUUGUGAAAACUCGAGGCUCAACCUCGAGACGCCGGUGGAAACCAUCUAGCUAGAGUCCGGAAGAGGAGAGUGGAAUUCCUGGUGUAGCGGUGAAAUGCGCAGAUAUCAGGAAGAACACCCGUGGCGAAGGCGGCAUCCUGGACCGGCAUUGACGCUGAGGAGCGAAAGCCAGGGAGCAAACGGG